CUUUAAUUCUCAAUAGGAUUGAAAUAAUGACACAAACAGAAGCAUUAUUGUCAGUUUAGACAGACACACAGAUUAGACAGCAGUGAUAUACUGAGAGCUUUGACUGGGGGAAAAAUAGAAGAAAACAGUAAAAGUGGCCCAACCCUAUGAAGCCCCACUGGUGCUCACGGCUCAGAUCUCAUGUAACUGCCUGGGACAGGAUUUGUAUAAAGGAAGGUGCUUUGCAUACCUGUGCCUGCCUCACUGCUCUGCACAACAGCUAGAAUAACUGCACUGCUCCAUUGCUCAGGGGUUUUAAAGCUGACAGUUGAGCCCUUUCACAGUCACUGAGACACACAGAGAGCAUGGCUUCACUGGGGCUCCUCCUCUGGACACUGGCACUCUUUGCUCAUGAAUCCAGCGGUCAGAUUGUCCUGACUCAGAGUCCCACAGUGGAGUCUGUCUCUAUAGGAGGGAGUGUCACUCUGAACUGCAGAUCCAGUAGCUCUGGUUUUACCAGCAGUCUAGCCUGGUAUGUGCAGAAACCCGGAGGAGCUCCUAAACUCCUCUUCUCUUCACUGAAUAGCCGAGUCUCUGGAGCUCCAGCUCCAUUCACUGACAGCAGCUCAAGAACAAACUUCAUGCUGCCCAUCAGUGGAGUCCAGGCUGAAGAUGCAGGAGAUUACUACUGUCAGCAGCACUAUAGCUUCCAUUAAUGUGACCUUUAAGAGACACACUGCAGAUAUUAACACUGACCACAAGAGGGAGCCAGAGCAUCACUGCUGUCCAGUGCAGUACAGUAAUAAGACAAUUGAAAUAGGCAGCAGCAUAUUUAGUCUUGUAAAGCGCUUUAUG